rnacentral:rRNA from 1 species
AUUGAACGCUGGCGGCAGGCCUAACACAUGCAAGUCGAACGAGUGGCGGACGGGUGAGUAAUGUCUGGGAAACUGCCUGAUGUAGGGGGAUAACUACUGGAACCGGUAGCUAAUACCGCAUACCAUCAGAUGUGCCCAGGUGGGAUUAGCUAGUUGGUGGGGUAACGGCUCACAAAGGCGACGAUCCCUAGCUGGUCUGAGAGGAUGACCGGCCACACGGGAACGGAGACACGGUCCAGACUCCUACGGGAGGCAGCAGUGGGGAAUAUUGGACAAUGGGCGCAAGCCUGAUGCAGCAAUGCCGCGUGUAUGAAGAAGGCUUUCGGGUUGUAAAGUACUUUCAGCGGGGAGGCGUUAUCCGCAGAAGAAGCACCGGCUAACUCCGUGCCAGCAGCCGCGGUAAUAC